GGACCACCUUCCACUCACAAAGAAGCCAUUGCAGAUAUCAGAAGAUCAGUAAAAAAGUAGCUAUGGAUCAUCAAGAGACUAGUGUGAAAAUGGAGGGAGUUGUUGCCGGUAGAAGCUUAAUUGAUUUAGUCUUCUCUUGGUCUAUGGAGGAUGUUCUCAACAGAAAUCUUUGCAAAAACCAGGUGACGAAAAUUCCUGAGACAUUUUCGACCGUGACGAGUUACAUGAAAACGUUCAUUCCUUCACUUGUUGAGGAAACACAUGCUGAUUUACUCUCAAGCAUAGAGACUCUGUCACAGGAACACCCGGGGCAUUGGUGUUGCACAGUUCACUCCCUUGCGAGUAAAAAGACCUCAACAGCUACUUGUGAAAUUCUGGCUGUUAUAACUUCUAAGGGUCAUAACCCUCCCAAGGACUUGUUUUACGAUAUUAUAAUUAAUGGCAAGGGAGAAGCUGAAAAUCAUGCAGGAAAAUAUGAGCCGCAGGCUGGAGAUAUUAUUGCCUUGACUGAUAUCAGACCAAAAUGCACUGAUCAUUUAAAAGGGCCCGGAGAUUCAUAUCUCAUUGCGUAUGUUCUUCGAGGCAGAGAUAAUCAGUUCUCAAUACUCUCAUCAAAGCCUAUCAAUAAAGGAAAAGAAAGACUUCUUGCUGUCUAUCUAAUCAACAUGACAACAAGCGUUCGCGUAUGGAGUGCUUUGAACUCAGAAAGGGCAAGCACAGGUUUAAUUAAGAAUGUGCUGCAGGUGCAACCCAAUUCAUCACAUGGUGGGAACUCUUGUGCAAUUUGCAUUUCUAAAGAAAAAUGCUCCCCUGCCCUUUCUACUAAAUGGCCCUCAAUGUUCUCUGAUCUCAAUGAUUCCCAACAAGCUGCAGUUUUGAACUGUAUCAGUUUGAGUAAAUGUACUCACCAUAAUGCCAUCAACCUAAUAUGGGGUCCUCCUGGGACUGGAAAAACCGACACAGUUGCUAUGUCACUCUUUGCCCUCUUGAAGUUGAAGUGCAGAACGCUAACAUGUGCCCCAACGAAUAUUUCCGUGUUUCAAGUCACAGAGCGACUCCUGGGAUUGGUUAACCAGUCUCUUGAUUAUGGCAAGUAUGGAAUUGGAGAUUUAAUUCUAUUUGGGAAUGAAGAGCGAAUGAAGAUUGAUAAUUAUGAUGACCUUGUUGAGGUAUUUCUUGAUUAUCGUACUGAAAUUCUGGCCAAGUGCUUUGACCCUUUGACUGGAUGGAAACAUUGGUUGGAAUCAAUGAUAGGUUUGCUUGAGGAUCCAAAGGGAAAGCACUUGUUGUAUUUGAAAGAAAUAAGGAGAAGCAGAUACAAUUAGGAUGGAAAAGAUAGCGAUAAUCUUUUGAUGAGGAUGAAGAGAGUUAUAGUCAAUGAUAGGAAGUCAACAAGGGAUGAUGUGAAUGAUUUUCUAACCUUUGAGGAGUUUGUGAAGGAAAAACUUAAUUCAAUUGGUGAGCAACUGAAGAUUUGCAUGGUAAAUUUGUACACCCACUUACCAACUUCUUGCAUUUCACUAGAGGUUGUGAAGGGCAUGAUUAGAGCUUUGGAUUUGCUCAGUUCUCUUAAAUCUUUACUGCAUGAGGUCGGUUUUGCUAGUGAGAGGUCACAAUUAGUUCUAAAAGAUUGUGUUCAUACACUGACGUUGCUUCUUGGAUUUUCUGUUCCUAAUUUGGAAGAUUUCAAGACAAUAAGGACAUGGUGCUUGGCAAAUGCUUGCUUAAUAUUUUGCACCGCGUCAGGCUCUGCUAAAUUGUACACAGAGGGAAUGACACCCCUGGAUUUGUUAGUGAUUGAUGAAGCUGCUCAGCUUAAAGAAUGUGAAUCAGCAAUUCCUUUACAACUACCGGGUCUUCGCCAUGCUAUUCUCAUAGGAGAUGAGAAGCAACUCCCUGCUAUGGUUAAAAGCAAGAUCUCCAAGCAGGCUGGUUUCGGAAGAAGUUUGUUUGGAAGACUUGUACUGUUGGGACAUGAGAGGCACCUUCUCAAUAUCCAGUAUAGAAUGCAUCCAUCAAUCAGCUUAUUCCCGAAAAGAGAGUUUUACAACAACCAGAUAUUAGACGGUCCAAAUAUCAAGCAAGGAAGCCAUGAGAAGUGCUUUCUUUCAGGAAAAAUGUACGGACCCUACUCCUUUAUAGAUAUAGCCAAUGGAAAAGAAGAUUACGAUCGUGGGCAUAGUCUUAAAAAUAUGGUUGAGGUUGCUGUGGUCUGUGAGAUUGUUGCAAGCCUUUACAGAGAAUUUACUCAAACAAAGAAGAGAGUUAGUAUUGGGGUAAUUUCACCUUACAAAGCUCAAGUUAAUGCAAUUCAAGAGAGAGUCAGAGAACAUAGUGAAGCUUCUGGCACUGACUUCUCUGUAAGAGUGCGAUCUGUUGAUGGAUUCCAAGGUGGUGAAGAUGAUGUGAUAAUUAUCUCCACAGUCAGAUGUAACGAGAAAGGCUCUGUCGGUUUCCUCUCCAAUCUUGAAAGGGCAAACGUGAUGCUAACGCGUGCAAGGUACUGUCUGUGGAUUUUGGGGAACGAAGCAACUUUGAUUAGCAGUAACUCUAUUUGGAAGAAGCUAAUUCUUGAUGCAAAGAAACGCAAAUGUUUUUAUAAUGCUCAUGAUGAUAAGGACUUGGCUCAGGCCAUUGCAACAGCCCUCAUGGACCUUGGCCAACUGCAUAUUCUACUCAAUGCUGAUUCUCUGCUGUUCAAAAAUGCCAAAUGGAAGGUGUGCUUCACGAAUGAAUUUCAGAGUUCCAUAGAAAAGAUUAAAGACACUGAGGUCCGUCGGGAAGUGAUUUCCUUGUUAACAAAGCUCUCUAAUGGUUGGCGCCAAUCUGACAAGGAUAAAGGAGUUAUGGUCCAUGGUGGGACUUGUGCUAAACUCUUAGAGAAGUAUGAAGUCAAAGGGCAGCUCAACCUCAUGUGGUCUGUAGAUGUUGUCCAGGAGAACUCAGAUUAUGUCCAGGUUUUGAAGAUUUGGGAUGUUCUUCCAAUUUCUGAUGCUCCCGAACUUGAGAAGCGGCUUGAGAUCAUGUUUUGUAGCUAUACAACCGAUAAUAUGAACCUCUGCAUGCUCAGAUGUGUUGAUGGUGACGCAGUUGUUCCGAUUAGAUUGCCGGUGAAUUCGAGCAGCUCCCAUGAGGCUAAGGCUGAGGCUGAUCCUGUUCCUGUGGAGGUUCUUUCAAAGCCAUUGUCUUCACUCUGUCUUAACGGAUAAGCCACAAACAUCAAGCAAUAGAAAGAAUAAUAAUAGGUCCAGAUGGAGAUAAAUAAGGCCACCUGGUUGAAGAGGAAAGAACCACCAUCAACAAUAUAUGUUGAUCUUGAAGGUUGCGGCCAUUUUUACACGUCAUGAAGGUUGCGCUUGCGGCCAUUACUGUUGUAUUAAUAAUUGGCACAAAUUAAUGUGCUAAUCAUCCAAUUAAAAAUACCCGCAAAUGUAUGCAUUUAUUGGAGUAUAGAUUUGUAAAUACGGGAUCAUUCCCACGGGGAA